rnacentral:rRNA from 1 species
CAAGUCGAACGCGAAAGGGAGCAAUCCCCGGUAGCGUGGCAGACGGGUGAGUAACACGUGGGUAACCUACCCGGAGGUGGGGGAUAACCCUUCGAAAGGAGGGCUAAUACCGCAUGACACCGUGGGGACCUCGGUCCUUGCGAUCAAAGCUGGCCUCUGUUUACAAGCUAGCGCCACCGGAUGGGCCCGCGCCCCAUUAGCUAGUUGGUGAGGUAACGGCUCACCAAGGCGACGAUGGGUAGCCGGCCUGAGAGGGCGAUCGGCCACACUGGAACUGCGACACGGUCCAGACUCCUACGGGAGGCAGCAGUGAGGAAUAUUGCGCAAUGGGCGAAAGCCUGACGCAGCGACGCCGCGUGGAGGAUGAAGGUCUUCGGAUUGUAAACUCCUGUCGAGUGGGACGAAUGCCGUGAGGGUGAAUACCCCUUGCGGUUGACGGUACCGCUGGAGGAAGCCCCGGCUAACUCCGUGCCAGCAGCCGCGGUAAUACGGAGGGGGCUAGCGUUGUUCGGAAUCAUUGGGCGUAAAGGGCGCGUAGGCGGCCGAUCAAGUCGGAGGUGAAAUCCCUCGGCUCAACUGAGGAAUUGCCUUCGAUACUGUUCGGCUUGAGUCCUGGAGAGGGUAGCGGAAUUCCCGGUGUAGCGGUGAAAUGCGUAGAGACCGGGAAGAACACCAGUGGCGAAGGCGGCUACCUGGACAGGUACUGACGCUGAAGCGCGAAAGCUAGGGGAGCAAACAGGAUUAGAUACCCUGGUAGUCCUAGCUGUAAACGAUGGGCACUUGGUGUUGCGGGUAUCGACCCCUGCAGUGCCGAAGCUAACGCAUUAAGUGCCCCGCCUGGGGAGUACGGUCGCAAGGCUGAAACUCAAAGGAAUUGACGGGGG